AUCUAGCUGACUAGCCCAAAAUAGGACGAAACGCUAGUCCUUGAU
rnacentral:hammerhead_ribozyme from 1 species